UGGGGAAUCUUGCGCAAUGGAGGGAACUCUGACCCAGCCAUGCCGCGUGCAGGAUGAAGGCGUUAUGCGUUGUAAACUGCUUUUUAUAUAGGAAGAAAUAGUCCUUGCGAGGAAAGUUGACGGUACUAUAUGAAUAAGCACCGGCUAACUCCGUGCCAGCAGCCGCGGUAAUACGGAGGGUGCAAGCGUUGUCCGGAAUCAUUGGGUUUAAAGGGUCCGUAGGCGGUUAGAUAAGUCAGUGGUGAAAGCCCAUCGCUCAACGGUGGAACGGCCAUUGAUACUGUCUGACUUGAAUUAUUAGGAAGUAACUAGAAUAUGUAGUGUAGCGGUGAAAUGCGUAGAUAUAGGAAGGAACACCAGUGGCGAAGGCGACCACCUGGACUGAUACUGACACUGAGGUGCGAAAGCGUGGGGAGCAAACAGGAUUAGAUACCCACGUAGUCCCUGAGCGGGCUGGCAAGGCGCAU
rnacentral:rRNA from 1 species